rnacentral:rRNA from 1 species
UAGUCAUAUGCUUGUCUCAAAGAUUAAGCCAUGCAUGUCUAAGUAUAAACACUUUAUACCGUGAAACUGCGAAUGGCUCAUUAAAUCAGUUAUAGUUUAUUUGAUAGUACCUUACUACUUGGAUAACCGUGGUAAUUCUAGAGCUAAUACAUGCUAAAAAUCUCGACUUCUGGAAGAGAUGUAUUUAUUAGAUUAAAAACCAACCCCCUCGGGGUUUUUUGGUGAUUCAUGAUAACUUUUCGAAUCGUAUGGGCUUUGUUCCGACGAUGGUUCAUUC